AUUGAACGCUGGCGGCAUGCUUUACACAUGCAAGUCGAACGGUAGACCCUUUCGGGGUGAGAGUGGCGAACGGGUGAGUAAUGCAUCGGAACGUGCCCAGUCGUGGGGGAUAACGCAGCGAAAGUUGUGCUAAUACCGCAUACGACCUGAGGGUGAAAGCGGGGGACCGGUAACGGCCUCGCGCGAUUGGAGCGGCCGAUGUCUGAUUAGCUAGUUGGUGGGGUAAAGGCUCACCAAGGCGACGAUCAGUAGCGGGUCUGAGAGGAUGAUCCGCCACACUGGGACUGAGACACGGCCCAGACUCCUACGGGAGGCAGCAGUGGGGAAUUUUGGACAAUGGGGGAAACCCUGAUCCAGCCAUGCCGCGUGCGGGAAGAAGGCCUCGGUUGUAACGCUUCGUACGGAAGAAUACGCAUGGAUAAUAACUCUGUGUGGA
rnacentral:rRNA from 1 species